UUCGCUGACGAGUGGCGGACGGGUGAGUAAUGUCUGGGAAACUGCCUGAUGGAGGGGGAUAACUACUGGAAACGGUAGCUAAUACCGCAUAAUGUCGCAAGACCAAAGAGGGGGACCUUCGGGCCUCUUGCCAUCGGAUGUGCCCAGAUGGGAUUAGCUUGUUGGUGGGGUAACGGCUCACCAAGGCGACGAUCCCUAGCUGGUCUGAGAGGAUGACCAGCCACACUGGAACUGAGACACGGUCCAGACUCCUACGGGAGGCAGCAGUGGGGAAUAUUGCACAAUGGGCGCAAGCCUGAUGCAGCCAUGC
rnacentral:rRNA from 1 species